AAUUUGAAAUUUUAUAUUCUUAUUUAUUCAUAAUCCUUUUUCUUAUUUUUCAGAUGCUUGGUUCUAUUAGUUAAAAUGAAUCAUUCUCCAGUUUCAAUCUUGAUUCAGUUUCUACCUGCUUGGGAAGCUAUUAUUUUUGUUUUACCAAUUGGCAAUGAAACUCUACAAUGAUGAAUGAAACCUAGAGAUAAUUAGACAUUGCUCAAAUAUGCAAAAGGAACAAUAAACUGAGACCAGAUGUGCAGUAAUUGAUAUCGUUAGAACCCAGCCACUCUUCACUGGUUACACUGUUUCCAGAAAAGG